rnacentral:rRNA from 1 species
AUUGAACGCUGGCGGCAUGCCUUACACAUGCAAGUCGAACGGCAGCACGGGGCAACCUGGUGGCGAGUGGCGAACGGGUGAGUAAUGCAUCGGAACGUACCUUUCAGUGGGGGAUAACGUAGCGAAAGUUACGCUAAUACCGCAUAUUCUGUGAGCAGGAAAGCAGGGGAUCGCAAGACCUUGCGCUGAUUGAGCGGCCGAUGUCAGAUUAGCUAGUUGGUGAGGUAAAGGCUCACCAAGGCGACGAUCUGUAGCGGGUCUGAGAGGAUGAUCCGCCACACUGGAACUGAGACACGGUCCAGACUCCUACGGGAGGCAGCAGUGGGGAAUUUUGGACAAUGGGGGCAACCCUGAUCCAGCCAUGCCGCGUGAGGGAAGAAGGCCUUCGGGUUGUAAAGCUCUUUCAGCCGGGAAGAAAUCGCACGGGCUAAUACCCUGUGUGGAUGACGGUACCGGAAUAAGAAGCACCGGCUAACUGCGUGCCAGCCGCCGCGGUAA